rnacentral:rRNA from 1 species
UGAACAUUGACCCUACAUGUGUAGGAUAGGUGGGAGGCUUUGAAGCGCAGUCGCUAGAUUGCGUGGAGCCGUCCUUGAAAUACCACCCUUGUAGUGUUGAUGUUCUAACGUUGACCCCUUAUCGGGGUUGCGGACAGUGCCUGGUGGGUAGUUUGACUGGGGCGGUCUCCUCCCAAAGCGUAACGGAGGAGCACGAAGGUGGGCUAAUCACGGUUGGACAUCGUGAGGUUA